GACAGAGGGUGCAAACGUUGUUCGGAAUUACUGGGCGUAAAGCGAGUGUAGGCGGUUUGGUAAGUCGGAUGUGAAAGCCCCGGGCUCAACCCGGGAAGUGCACUCGAUACUGCCAAGCUAGAGUAUCGGAGAGGUUGGUGGAAUUCUCGGUGUAGAGGUGAAAUUCGUAGAUAUCGAGAGGAACACCGGUGGCGAAGGCGGCAUCCUGGACCGACAUUGACGCUGAUGAGCGAAAGCUAGGGGAGCAAACGGG
rnacentral:rRNA from 1 species